CACGUAGGCGGAUUUGUAAGUUAGGGGUGAAAUCCCGGGGCUCAACCUCGGAACUGCCUUUGAUACUGCAAAUCUCGAGUCCGGAAGAGGUGAGUGGAAUUCCUAGUGUAGAGGUGAAAUUCGUAGAUAUUAGGAAGAACACCAGUGGCGAAGGCGGCUCACUGGUCCGGUACUGACGCUGAGGUGCGAAAGCGUGGGGAGCAAACA
rnacentral:rRNA from 1 species